AGAGUUUGAUCCUGGCUCAGGAUGAACGCUAGCGAUAGGCUUAACACAUGCAAGUCGAGGGGCAGCAUGGUCUUAGCUUGCUAAGACUGAUGGCGACCGGCGCACGGGUGCGUAACGCGUAUGCAACUUGCCUCACAGAGGGGGAUAACCCGUCGAAAGACGGACUAAUACCGCGUACACUCCAGCUUGGGCAUCCAGGUUAGAGGAAAUGAAUUUCGCUGUGAGAUAGGCAUGCGUCCCAUUAGCUAGUUGGUGAGGUAACGGCUCACCAAGGCGACGAUGGGUAGGGGAACUGAGAGGUUGAACCCCCACACUGGUACUGAGACACGGACCAGACUCCUACGGGAGGCAGCAGUGAGGAAUAUUGGUCAAUGGUCGGAAGACUGAACCAGCCAUGCCGCGUGCAGGAAGACGGCCUUAUGGGUUGUAAACUGCUUUUGUAAGGGAAGAAUAAGUCGUAUGUAUACGGCGAUGACGGUACUUUACGAAUAAGCAUCGGCUAACUCCGUGCCAGCAGCCGCGGUAAUACGGAGGAUGCGAGCGUUAUCCGGAUUUAUUGGGUUUAAAGGGUGCGUAGGCGGCCUGUUAAGUCAGCGGUGAAAUCUAGGAGCUUAACUCCUAAAUUGCCAUUGAUACUGGCGGGCUUGAGUGUAGAUGAGGUAGGCGGAAUGCGUGGUGUAGCGGUGGAAUGCAUAGAUAUCACGCAGAACUCCAAUUGCGAAGGCAGCUUACUAAGGUACAACUGACGCUGAAGCACGAAAGCGUGGGUAUCAAACAGGAUUAGAUACCCUGGUAGUCCACGCAGUAAACGAUGAUAACUGGGCGUAUGCGAUAUACAGUAUGCUCCUAAGCGAAAGCGUUAAGUUAUCCACCUGGGGAGUACGCCGGCAACGGUGAAACUCAAAGGAAUUGACGGGGGCCCGCACAAGCGGAGGAACAUGUG
rnacentral:rRNA from 1 species